rnacentral:lncRNA from 1 species
AAACCUUCUGAAAACAGUGUCGAUGGAUGUUUGUCGGGCCACCAAACUAUUCAGAAGUACCGUUAGAUCGAGCAAACUUCUCGCUUAGGAAACGUUGGCCAUCAUUAGCAGAGGAGAAACGUCUAAUGGAUGGAGGAGACAGACCGUCGUAAUCCUGAUUGUAACGGUAGUAGCGUCAUUGAGCCAAAUGACCGUAGUGACUGCAAAUCUGACAUUGAACCCGUGGCCGAAAGUCGUUCCUAUUAGAACCAGAUAAAGAACGACCGCCGUCAUGAGUAGGACCGGCCACCGUCGUGUUUAACGGUACCUCAACCAUGUUCACAUGAAACGGUACAUCAUGCAUCGUACGAAGCUGCUGAUUCUCAAAAUCCAAGAGAACCCCAAUGAUUUUUUGAAACAGAAGUGGCUCAGAGGAGAAAGACGUCAGCGUUAUCACGGAAUCAAAAUCUGAUGAAAGUCCAGCGAGAAUAACCUCUACCUUUUCGGCCUUCGAGACGACAGAUCCAGACGCCUCCAAGAGAGCGCAGGUAUUUUGUAUCUUGGCAAUGUAUUCUUUGACUUUAAUGCUCCUUUCUUGAUUGAUUAUAGGCCAUGCUUGAUCCUAGAGAGUUUCGCACCAGUUGUGGCAGAAAAGAGUCGAUUAGUAGUGUUCCAUAUUUUACAGCCUUUUUUGAAAAAUAUAAAAUAUGACAAUAAUGAUGCACUAAUGGUAGAAAGUAACCAUGAUGCAAGUAACUUAUCUUGUUGAAUAAAGAAAGAUGCAUUAGGAUUUGGAGUCAGAGUUCCAUCUAGAGAGGUCACAAAACGAGCUGGAACAGGUAAAGUACCGUCUAGAAAAUCCUGCAAUUCAUAACCUUCUGUGAUCAACCUUACAUGCUGUUGCCAUUGCACAUAGUUUCCAUCAUCUAACUUCACUGUAUAAUGAUGAGGAAAUGAUUGAACCAGACGAGAAUCAGAAAAAGAACCAACAGAGGUAGAUUCGGUGGAAUUUGCCAUGGAUUCAAUAGAGGGAAGGAGGCCCAAAGAAGUUGGUGACUGAUACCAUGUAAAAUACUAUACUAAACAAAUAACAAUUAUGAUACUAGUAUUCUUAUCUGCUUUAACCAAUUACAUAGAUGAUGUUUGUAUACUUGAAAAUGAAUAAAUGCUCCUAAUCAAUUAUAC